rnacentral:rRNA from 1 species
CCUACGGGAGGCAGCAGUGAGGAAUAUUGGUCAAUGGGCGCGAGCCUGAACCAGCCAAGUAGCGUGAAGGAUGACUGCCCUACGGGUUGUAAACUUCUUUUAUAAAGGAAUAAAGUGAGGCACGUGUGCCUUUUUGUAUGUACUUUAUGAAUAAGGAUCGGCUAACUCCGUGCCAGCAGCCGCGGUAAUACGGAGGAUCCGAGCGUUAUCCGGAUUUAUUGGGUUUAAAGGGAGCGUAGAUGGGUUGUUAAGUCAGUUGUGAAAGUUUGCGGCUCAACCGUAAAAUUGCAAUUGAUACUGGCAGCCUGGAGUACAGGAGGGGCAGGCGGAAUUCCUGGUGUAGCGGUGAAAUGCGUAGAUAUCAGGAGGAACACCGGCGGCGAAGGCGGCCUGCUGGACUGAAACUGACGUUGAGGCUCGAAAGCGUGGGGAGCAAACAGGAUUAGAUACCCUUGUAGUC